AUUCAGAAUCUUUAUUUGAUAUGAAUAAGUUUCAUGAUCUUGAUUCUUAACUCCUUUAAUUUGAUGCUUUUGGAAAAAAAAAAAACCUAUUUUUUAGUGCUCUAAAUCAAUAAGAGGUAUUGAUUUUGAUAUCACUCCCCCUUUAUCUUCAUAAUUUCCGCUCCCCCUUUAUAUGUGUCAUUUAAACUACUCUUUCUUUUACUAAUUCUUACUUCCCUAC
rnacentral:lncRNA from 1 species